GACGAACCGUGCAAACGUUGUUCGGAAUCACUGGGCUUAAAGGGCGCGUAGGCGGCUCAUCAAGUCGGGGGUGAAAUACUUCAGCUUAACUGGAGAAGUGCCUUCGAUACUGGUGGGCUUGAGGGAGGUAGGGGUCUUUGGAACUUCUGGUGGAGCGGUGAAGUGCGUUGAUAUCAGAAGGAACGCCGGUGGCGAAAGCGAAGGACUGGACCUCUUCUGACGCUGAGGCACGAAGGCCAGGGGAGCAAACGGG
rnacentral:rRNA from 1 species